rfam:Gorilla gorilla gorilla genomic chromosome, chr14, whole genome shotgun sequence
AAGACUCUACUUUCAGGGAUCAUUUCUAUAGUUUAUUACUAGGGAAGUUUCUCUCAAUGUGUAGAGCACAAAAAGUAAAAU